UUUUCCCGUAUUUUUUCAAAAUUUGAAUUCAAUCGAACGAUCCAAGCUAGAGAUUCCAACUCUAGGUAUUGCGUUCCCGGCAAUGAUUGGAUUUCAAUAUGUUGAUCAUAAAUGCGAAUCGGUGAGAAUUGGAGCUCCGAUCUAGACACUAAGGUAAAAUACCAAGGGUUCGAGAUAUGGAUGUUGAUUCGUCAAUGGCGUCAGAGACCGAUCACGAUCCAACAGGCCCCAACAACAACGGCCCGACGUCCGAACAGGUCGAGCAGGCUCCGGCGGCCGUGACUUCUGGAUCUCCGGCGGAGCCACCGCCACCUCCGCCGCCGGCUCAGGCGCAUCAGAGCCCCGUGGCCGGGCCGAGGACUGCUCCGACGUACUCUGUGGUGAACGCAAUCUUAGAGAAGAAGGAAGAUGGGCCGGGGCCGAGAUGCGGGCACACCUUAACGGCUGUGGCUGCAGUUGGGGAGGAAGGGACGACGGGUUACAUUGGACGGAGGCUGAUUCUUUUUGGAGGAGCCACUGCUCUUGAGGGCAAUUCUGCAGCUCCAGGGACUCCAUCUUCGGCUGGAAGUGCUGGAAUAAGAUUACACCCUUUGGAGAACCUCCCACUCCAAGGGCAGCACAUGUGGCAACUGCUGUGGGUACUAUGGUAGUUAUUCAGGGUGGAAUUGGUCUAGCUGGUUUGUCUGCUGAGGACCUCCAUGUUCUUGAUCUCACACAACAACGACCACGAUGGCAUAGGGUUGUGGUCCAAGGUCCUGGACCAGGGCCACGUUAUGGGCAUGUUAUAGCUCUGGUGGCGCAAAGAUAUCUGAUGGCAAUCGGUGGGAAUGAUGGUGAGUCGCUUGAUAUCUGCUUUAUUUUGUGUGCUCGAGUAUGUUUUCCAUUUUCUGGUGUUAAGCAAUAAUUUGAUGUAUGAUUCCAGAAAAGGGUCCUUUGCCAAGCCAUAUGAAUCUUAUAUUUGUCAAUGCAUUAGUUUUUUGUGGGUGUAGGACAAAUUUUUAAUUUGGGGUUCAGUAAGGUAGAAGGGUGGUGGUUGGUUAAGGUAGAAGGGAGAUGGUUAUCUGAAUUGAAGGGGCUUCAAUAGAUUGGUUUCAAAUGCUGGUUGCUGGAUUUUUAGAAAUCUUAUUAGGAAUUGAUGGGCUAGGGUUUCGGGGCGGCAUAGGUCUGAAUAGGUCUGCUUUGGAGGCUCUAAAAUGCUUUGUAAAUGAUUUAGAAAGAAGUUGAAUAUUAGGAGGAUGACGGAGAGAUGUUUCUAAUUCUUGUUUUUUGCCAUUAAGUGUGACAGUG